AACCUUAUGGACCUGCGGGCGUAUACCUGCGGAGGGAUCAUUACCGAGUGAGGGCCACCCCCUGGGUGGCCCGACCUCCCACCCCAUGUUAUCCGACCCUGUUGCCUCGGGGGCGACCCGGCCUUCGGGCGUCGGGGCCCCCGGUGGACCACACAACCCUGCAUCGUGGCGUCCGAGUGAGAUAUUGAAUCAAUCAAAACUUUUAACAACGGAUCU
rnacentral:misc_RNA from 1 species